rnacentral:rRNA from 1 species
GACGAACGCUGGCGGCGUGCUUAACACAUGCAAGUCGAACGGAAAGGCCCUGCUUUUGUGGGGUGCUCGAGUGGCGAACGGGUGAGUAACACGUGAGUAACCUGCCCUUGACUUUGGGAUAACUUCAGGAAACUGGGGCUAAUACCGGAUAGGAGCUCCUGCUGCAUGGUGGGGGUUGGAAAGUUUCGGCGGUUGGGGAUGGACUCGCGGCUUAUCAGCUUGUUGGUGGGGUAGUGGCUUACCAAGGCUUUGACGGGUAGCCGGCCUGAGAGGGUGACCGGCCACAUUGGGACUGAGAUACGGCCCAGACUCCUACGGGAGGCAGCAGUGGGGAAUAUUGCACAAUGGGCGGAAGCCUGAUGCAGCAACGCCGCGUGCGGGAUGACGGCCUUCGGGUUGUAAACCGCUUUCGCCUGUGACGAAGCGUGAGUGACGGUAAUGGGUAAAGAAGCACCGGCUAACUACGUGCCAGCAGCCGCGGUGAUACGUAGGGUGCGAGCGUUGUCCGGAUUUAUUGGGCGUAAAGGGCUCGUAGGUGGUUGAUCGCGUCGGAAGUGUAAUCUUGGGGCUUAACCCUGAGCGUGCUUUCGAUACGGGUUGACUUGAGGAAGGUAGGGGAGAAUGGAAUUCCUGGUGGAGCGGUGGAAUGCGCAGAUAUCAGGAGGAACACCAGUGGCGAAGGCGGUUCUCUGGGCCUUUCCUGACGCUGAGGAGCGAAAGCGUGGGGAGCGAACAGGCUUAGAUACCCUGGUAGUCCACGCUGUAAACGGUGGGUACUAGGUGUGGGGUCCAUUCCACGGGUUCCGUGCCGUAGCUAACGCUUUAAGUACCCCGCCUGGGGAGUACGGCCGCAAGGCUAAAACUCAAAGGAAUUGACGGGGCCCCGCACAAGCGGCGGAGCAUGCGGAUUAAUUCGAUGCAACGCGUAGAACCUUACCUGGGUUUGACAUGGAUCGGGAGCGCUCAGAGAUGGGUGUGCCUCUUUUGGGGUCGGUUCACAGGUGGUGCAUGGCUGUCGUCAGCUCGUGUCGUGAGAUGUUGGGUUAAGUCCCGCAACGAGCGCAACCCUUGUUCACUGUUGCCAGCACGUUAUGGUGGGGACUCAGUGGAGGCCGCCGGGGUCAACUCGGAGGAAGGUGGGGAUGACGUCAAGUCAUCAUGCCCCUUAUGUCCAGGGCUUCACGCAUGCUACAAUGGCUGGUACAGAGAGUGGCGAGCCUGUGAGGGUGAGCGAAUCUCGGAAAGCCGGUCUCAGUUCGGAUUGGGGUCUGCAACUCGACCUCAUGAAGUCGGAGUCGCUAGUAAUCGUAGAUCAGCAACGCUGCGGUGAAUACGUUCCCGGG